UUAGCUAGUUGGCGGGGUAACGGCCCACCAAGGCGACGAUGACUAGGGGAUCUGAGAGGAUGACCCCCCACACUGGUACUGAGACACGGACCAGACUCCUACGGGAGGCAGCAGUAAGGAAUAUUGGUCAAUGGAGGCAACUCUGAACCAGCCAUGCCGCGUGCAGGAAGACAGCCCUCUGGGUCGUAAACUGCUUUUAUUCGGGAAUAAACCACAUUACGUGUAAUGUGCUGAAUGUACCGAAGGAAUAAGGAUCGGCUAACUCCGUGCCAGCAGCCGCGGUAAUACGGAGGAUCCAAGCGUUAUCCGGAUUUAUUGGGUUUAAAGGGUGCGUAGGCGGCUUAUCAAGUCAGGGGUGAAAGACGGUGGCUCAACCAUCGCAGUGCCUUUGAUACUGAUGAGCUUGAAUACACUAGAGGUAGGCGGAAUGUGACAAGUAGCGGUGAAAUGCAUAGAUAUGUCACAGAACACCGAUUGCGAAGGCAGCUUACUAUGGUGUGAUUGACGCUGAGGCACGAAAGCGUGGGGAUCAAACAGGAUUAGAUACCCUGGUAGUCCACGCCCUAAACGAUGAAUACUCGCUGUUAGCGAUAUACAGUUAGCGGCUAAGCGAAAGCGUUAAGUAUUCCACCUGGGGAGUACGCCCGCAAGGGUGAAACUCAAAGGAAUUGACGGGAGCCCGCACAAGCGGAGGAGCAUGUGGUUUAAUUCGAUGAUACGCGAGGAACCUUACCCGGGCUUGAAAGUUAGUGAAUCAUUUAGAGAUAGAUGAGUCCGCAAGGACACGAAACUAGGUGCUGCAUGGCUGUCGUCAGCUCGUGCCAUGAGGUGUUGGGUUAAGUCCCGCAACGAGCGCAACCCCUAUGUUUAGUUGCCAGCACGUUAUGGUGGGGACUCUAAACAGACUGCCUGUGCAAACAGAGAGGAAGGAGGGGACGACAUCAAGUCAUCAUGGCCCUUACGUCCGGGGCUACACACGUGCUACAAUGGAUGGUACAGAGGGCAGCAAGCUGGCAACAGCAAGCGAAUCUCAAAAAGCCAUUCACAGUUCGGAUAGAGGUCUGCAACUCGACCUCUUGAAGUUGGAUUCGCUAGUAAUCGCGUAUCAGCAAUGACGCGGUGAAUACGUUCCCGGGCCUUGUACACACCGCCCGUCAAGCCAUGGAAGUUGGGGGUACCUAAAGUAUGUAACCGCAAGGAGCGUCCUAGGGUAAAACCGAUAACUGGGGCUAAGUCGUAACAAGGUAGCCGUACCGGUAGGUGCGGCUG
rnacentral:rRNA from 1 species